GCAGGAGAAAUAAAUCCUGUACCAGCCCAGCUGCCAAUAGAAUGGGACCUCCCCCUGAAGCAAAGUGAUGAUUCCGGUCAUUCUGUAACGAGGGGAGCUUUCCCAGGGCGGAGAAGUCCUAAGGACUUGCUAGACUUGAAUAACUGAAAGGAAGUGCAGGUUGUCAACCCUGUCUUACUUGGAGUGUGGCUUACACAUCUUCCUAAGCCCACUUGAAUGUGAAGCAAGCCUGGAAGCAUGGUGGUCUCUUACACCUGCAGACCCUGUCAGGAUUCAUGGAGCACAAGAAGGCCAAGAGGGACUGUUAUUAGAUCAUCUGUUCGGAGGUUGUGGUUAGCUCCACUUAACRUCACUGUUUUGUCAUCUGUGUCCGAGUAUCCUCCUGGACUCCGAGGUCUGUUUUUCUCUUGUCUCAGAGUCUGUCUCCAUUUGAUAGCCCCAACAGGCUCUGCCAGAAGUUUCCCACGUGCUGCUGUGGUUGUGCUUGAGGGCUGGGCUGCUUUUGGCAGGCAGUUCCCCCCACGGUGUGACUGGGCUUGUCUCCUGACCAUGCUUUUACCUUCCUCCUGGCUUGGCAGACCUUUGUUGCCUCUUACUGCUCAACUCUUGACAUGACUCCUGAGCCUGCCUUGUGGCUUGGUACAAUUGUAGGUUUGUUUCCUGUUAUCAGCUCCGAAAUUAAUUUUAGUUUGACUCUAACCACUUAGGAAGGUUACCUGCCUCCUUGGUUAGAUUACCUGAUAGCGUGAAGCCCACAGGAACUGCUAAUACCUGCACAGGGAUUUAGCAGGAGCUGAUUAGUGCUGUUCAUGCACAUUUGUUGUUGCAUGUGCUGUAUGUCACCCUACAACCACUGUUUUAUCUUCAUGUCUAUUUUGUUCUACCACUAGACUCUCUGGGGACAGAUACAAAUUAAAAGCAAAUUAUGCAACCUUUACCAUUCCUCGGCAGACACCCGYCUCAUCCCAGCUACCCUGAAUAAAUAUAACAGCCAUCAUACAUCUGAGUACAGCCUAUGGAAAAAGUGUGUGGUGCUUGAAGGACGAAACACUUGGACACCGAAUCCAUCAUGCAUCUGAGCAGGUUUUGAGUAGCGCUGUAUCAAGCAACUGCCUUUUGC